GGAUGGGUGCCCGAGCGGCCGAAGGGACCGGUCUUGAAAACCGGCGACGGCGAAAGCCGUCCGUGGGUUCGAAUCCCACCUCAUCCG
rnacentral:tRNA from 1 species